rnacentral:lncRNA from 1 species
GACCGUCCAAUCAAAGCAGCUGUUAACGUUUAGAAUUAGUUUAACAUAAAGCACGAUUAGUAAUAUUGGGCCAAUGAUUGGGUCGUGAUUAAGAUCUCACUAAUCACAGGCCCAUGGCAAAAACUAUAAAUACAGGUCAAAGGUGAAAGGUAGUUGGCUACAUUGAAUGCACAUUUACUACUAAUAUUUACUUUCUCUUUCAACCUCGAC